CGGUUGUUGUGGAGGGAGUUGGGAGGGUCUUUUCAUGGGGAGAGAGAGAGAGAGAGAGAGAGUAUGUAUAUAAUGUACUGUGGAUGAAGUAACAGAUGAAAAUGAGUGGAAGGAGGAGACAGAUGCCAAAGAAUGCGAUGUCGGAAUUAUUAUUAUGGUUAUUCUCUCUUUCUAAUCUUUUUGCAGAAAAGAGUGGUCUGAGUGGACAUUUUCGGCAUAUAAUAUAAUUGAAAUUUGAUUUGGCAGCAUCUCACUGGCUAUAUAUCUUUUCCCUUCUUUUAAAUGCCACACAUUGCAUAAAAUAAAAAUGAUAUUUUUAUUCAUAUAUUUGUAUCAUAUUCUUUUUUUUUUAUCAGAGAAGAGACUCAUAUAUGUUGAUGAUACUAUUUUAUUAGAUAGAUAGUAAAAAUAUCUACACUAAAUAAAAUGAAUUCACUCAAAUUUCACUAAAAUAUCGACAUUUGUAAGCCUUAUAAUACAUAAUAUUGUUUAGUACUUAAUAAAUUGCUCUCCAACCAUAGCAUGUUGACGUGGAUCGAUGGAAGUUUGAUGUACUCAUUGCCCUUAAGACACACACACUCUCUCUUAUGUUGAUGUUUAGUGUAUUGAAACAGAGUCAUAUCAUCUUUCACAAUCCGCAUCUAUAUAAUGUGAAACAAUCGAGUUUUGAUGCUCUAUUAUUAUUAUUUUAUUAUUAUUUUGAGAAAGGCUGUAUUAUUAUUGUAAGUGACAUUCUACAUCUUGUGUUUAGAUCAAGACGCCUCUAGCUGUCUUUAUUGCGAUAAUUUUUUAUUUUAAUAUUAUAAACAAUAUUCUAACUUUAAGCUAUAAUUUUUUUUAACUAAUUACUUUAAGUUGCAAUAAAAAGAGAAAGGUUUGACAUGCAAAGCUGCAUUGAAGAUGAAUACUUUUAAGUACCUGGAUAAUUCACCAUUUGCGCUUUUCUUUUUUGCUUACACAAUAGGACUGAGUACCCAAAAACAAUCCCAAACAAAAAAAUUACACUAGCAUGUCUUAAGAUUAAGAGAUACUAAUAAUAUCAGCAAUUAUCAAUGGUUUACAAGAAGAGGAGCUUGCUCAAAGUCUGCUGAGCCUAAGUGCACCUCUCGAUAAUUAAGUUUGGUGGUGGAUUUCUUACACCCGGCCCCGAUCGAGCUCCCACCAAAAGGAGGAUUGCAAACUCCACUAGAGGAAAAUCAAAUGAACUGAAAUUAUGCCCAGAAAUUUCCCUACACAAGCAAAAUUGUUAGGGUUGAUCUUCUGUUAGUUUCUCAAAUUAAAGAAGACAAGGGUGCGAGAGAAAGCCUUACACCUGGUGGUCGGUGUAACAAUAAUGUCAUCAUAGAUUGUUCAUGCAUGCAUUCCCUUAUCACGGAAAUAUUCCCCAGAAAUUGUAGAGGAGCUUUAUCAGUGCAUUUAACUAGAAUAGAAGGAAGUUAAGACGACUGAAAGGACAAUAAAGAAAGUUCUCUAAUUAACAUGGGAAACACCUUAGAAUCGGUUAAGUCUUGUUCCCCUUUAUUUUUGGGUUCGGUUUAUCUUUGAUGCUUGUCACAAUCGCAACACAACAAUUAACCAUUCGAGAUAAAUAAGGAACACUUAUGUAACAAUUUUUUUUAGAAAACUUCAUUUUAAUCCCUAAAAAAGAUGAGUUUUAGAUUAUAACCAUAUGUAAGAUUAAAAUCUAAUUUUAGUCCCUAGCACAUUUAAUCAUAUCAUUUAUUAGUUGUAUUUUGAUGUUUUAUUUUAUCUUUUUAUUUUUAUUUUAAUGUAUUAAUUACAUUUACAUUUAAUUUUUAUUUCAUUCAUCAUAAUAUAUUUUAAUGUCUACAUUUAGGCAACUAAAUUUUUUAUAAUAUAUAUUCCGAUAACAAUUUUGUAUGUUCUUCAUUUAGGUACAUUAAUACAUUUGAAUAUUUUGGUAUAUCUAUCGGUACAAACAUGUAGUUACAUUGAUUUAAUAUAAUGCAUUUCGUUACGUACACUUUGAUACACACAUUUGAGUAUUGACUUUUAGGUACAUUAAUUCAAUUAUUAUUUCGGUAAAUAUAUUUAGGUACAUACAUUUUGGUAUUGAUAUUUAGGUACAUACAUUUUCGGUAUUGACAUUUAGGUUCGUACAUUUUGGUACAUACAUUUCGGUAUUGACAUUUAGGUACAUUAAUUCAAUAUAAUACAUUUCAGUACAUACAUUUAGGUUCAUUGUAAUAUAUUUCGGUACAAUCAUGUAGGUACAAAUAUUUUGGUACAAAAAAAGUCAAUUUUAUAUAUUUUGGCACAAUCAUUUCUGUACACUUGUGUAUCUAUAUAUUUUUGUAUCACAAAUUUUUUUUAAUAUUUUCUCAUUUACGUUCAUUUCUAAUUAAAAAAAAUUAAAUAUGUACAUAUUAAUGAAAUUAAAAUUUAAUAUGGAGAGAUUAAAUAAAAAUACACAUUAAAUAAGAAUAAUUGAAUGUAAAUUUUGAUAAAAGUACACUCAAAGGAUUAAAUUGAAUAUUUAAUCUAGCAUCAGGUUUUUUUUUUAAAUUUUAAUCUUUUGCAAGGACUAAUGUUCAAAAACCCUUUUUUUUUUGUACAAACGAGUCAUUGUAGAAAUCUGGUACAUGUGCAAUCAAAUUAAUAUUCCGCGAUUCAGAACAUAUGACAGAACUUAUUUGUCCACCACUUAUGAAUAUCACAUUUUUAAUAUAUAAACAUCACGGUUAAAUUUGUUCAUUUCUCUUUAUUAUCAUUUAAAGAUCAUCUUUGUAAAAAAUUAUUCAAUUUGGAGAUUGUUUAUUCAUCUUAUACAUCAUAUAUAGACGGUUCAUAAUGCAGAGCUACUUGUUACCAAAAUCGUUCGACACGCAUGGCUAAAUGGUCUCCAAAUUAAGUUGUAUUUUUUUACAUAGAUGAUAUUCAAAUAAUAGUAAAAAGAUAAUGAACAAUUCUAAUUAUGACAUUUGUAUAAUUUUUUAUUACAAAAUCAUUUAAUUUGGAGACCGCCUAUUCAUCUUCAUGCAUCAAACAAAUAGAAUGAUAAUCAUUGUGGAUUCUACUUGUUACCAAAACUGUUCAGCACACAUGGAUGGCUAAAUGGUCUUCAAAUGAGUGAUUUUAAUGUAGAUGAUAUUCAAAUAAUAAGAAAGAGGAUGCAUGGUUCCAAUAUCUUUAUUUAAUACAAUCGAUAUUCUAUACUAAUCUACACUCAAAUGAGGAAGAGAGUUUGAACCCGUGACAUAGUGGAUUAAAGAAGAAUACCUUAACCACCAGAACAAUCCACUACUUGCAUGACAUUAAUUUGUAUAUAUAUAUAAUUUCCAGACACUACAAUAAACUAGGAAAUUUAAGCUUCUAAGUCUGAAAUUUUGUACUUAUGAGCAAUAUAUAAUUUCCAGAACACUACGAUACACACACACACAGAGUACUUUAUUUUUAUAAAGAACAACUGCAAUAUGAAGGAGGCUUAUUCAUGAAUUAACUAAAAAACAAGGGGAGAUUUACCUGUCCCCAACACAUGUAUCUUGCAAAAACACAUCUUGAAUAAUGUCAGACGAUUCUUUGAACCGUUAAAAACAAGGGGUUUCUCCAUUUUAAUCCUUGAUAAAGAUUGAAAUUCAAUUAAAACCUUAUAUUAGAUUAUAUAUUCAUUAUAGUCCUUUGACUAAAUUUCCAUGUCAGUAUAAAUAUUAAAAUUUAUAUUUUCUUGUUUUGAAAUAUUUAAUGCGUUUUUUGGGUUCCUAUAAUGCCCCUAUUAAAUAUAUGAUUUUAAUUUGCUCCAUAUUUUUUGGCAUUGAUUAUUGUUUGACUUUCUAAAAUGAUAAACAUAAUUCAAAAAAAUAUUAGUGAUACGUUACAAGAAUUAACAAAUACCUAAUUCAAAUUAUUCAUUAUCACCAUUCAAAGCAUAGAGGAAAUAUAAAUAGCCAAAUCAUAUAUUUUACAUAAUCGAAUACACUUAAACCAUGUCCUAAUGUGCUUAAAUCAUAUAACCUAGUCGAAUGCACAUAAAUCAUAGUACCAAGUCAAAUGCACCUAAACCAUGGUACUUAUAUGAAUGCACCUAAAUCAUGGUACCUAUAUGAAUGCACCUAAAUCAUGGUACCUAUAUGAAUGCACCUAAAUCAUGGUACCUAUAUGAAUGUACCUUAAUCAUUUAGGUACUAUCAAUUAGGUCUUAUCCAUUUGGUAUGGUCGGUUAGGUACUAUAUAGUGUAUGUCCGAUUAAUUUGGUACGGUCAAUUAAGUUGUGAUUUCAUAUUCUAUUUUCUCAAUUUGUAUUUUUUUUUCAUUUAUCUCUGGAUUCACCUUCAAUUUGGCAUCUAAAAGCCCCUUUUUUCUUCUUUCUUCCAAAUACAACAAGAUUUUUGGUUUGUAAGUUUUAUGGCUUUUUUUGUUUGAUCAUGGUUUCUAAGUUUUCUGGGUUCUUUGAUUGGAAUAACACAUGGAGAUUUAUGUUAUAACAAACAUGUUAAUUAUGGAUCUAGUUAAUUAAGCAUUCUUGAAAAAUUAAUUAUAUAUUUGUUUCUCUAAUUGGUUUUAAAGAGUAAUAAGGGUAAAUAGGGAAACUAAAAAUGCAAUAAAUUUAUUAAAAAAUGAUUAAAUGUGACAUGGAAUACUAUAAUCUGACAUGGAGGACUAUUUUUAGUUUUUAAUCUUACAUACGGUAUUAUUGAAAAAGCAAUCUUAUUUAGGGAUUAAAAUGAAGUUUUCUAUAAAAACAAUGCUCGAUGUCUAAAGAAAGAUCAAUUUUAAAUAUAUUGAAUCUCUGUGGUACAUUGACUCACGCCAACAAAGAAAACGCAGCCAAACAUUGAGCUACACCAUUUGCCCUUGAGGGACAUACAGUUAUUUUCAUGAGCUCUCCUCAACAUAUAUUUCACAUCAUCUAUAGUCGAAAAUUAUCUUCUUCUGAUUGUGCAAUACCUACCAUUAUGAAUGAUUAUUCAUCACAAUGGCAUUCACAACGUCUUGAAAACUUUGAAAACAUUUUUUUUUUUGACAAAUGAUAGCGUUAAUAUGCUAAAUUAUUAGUUGUUAGACGGAAGGGGAUUAAACCCGCACUAGAAUGCAUAAUCACUCUAGUAAAAAAAACUGCUUGCGCGACAAAGCACACAUCCUUGCGCAUAGUCACGUUGUGCGAUGAAAUUUUAAACUUCGUCGCACAUGGUCAAAUAAAAAUUUGAGCCGGCGCCAAAAAUGGGAUGUGGGAAAUUUUAUUUUUUAAAAUUUUUUUAAGACUUUGCGCGAUCAAUAUUUCGUCCCACAAAGUGAUACAGUUAUUAAAACCAAAAUGACUCAUUCACAAUUUUCUCAAUGUCUUUCUCUAUUUCUUACCUCUCAUUUCUUUCCCUCUCCCCAAAUCCAACCCUCUCUCUCACACUCACUCCUCUCACUUAAUCUCUCUUCUCUCCCUCUCUCUCUCUUUUGUAUCUUUCACUCUCACUCACUAUCUCUUCUCUAUCUCUCACUCUCUCAUCUCUCUCUCACUAUCUCCUCUAACUCUCUCACUCACUCAUUUCUCUCAUUCUCACUCACUCUUAAUCUUGCCAAAAGGUAUGUUUGACAUACCCCGACCCGUAAUGUCCACUAGGACUCUGAAUCGAGCUGUGCUGGCUGACACUUGGAAGGUGACGAAGCCAUAAAGUAUGAUGAUGUGGAAAAAUGUGAAUAAAUUCAAACCUAAGAGUGCCUAAAAAAAGCCAGAGUGCACUAGUGAGCGGGAAUGAACCCAUUUCACACGUGACGUUAGAGCAUAAGUAAGUACAGUAGAGUGGAUUAAGAAUCAUACCCUCGAAAGAAAUCUCCAAUACCAAAACUUGCCACAAAUCCUCGUCGAUACGAAAGCUCUGCUACUAGACCUGAAAGGAUAAAAACUAGAGUGAGUGGCCAGAAAAUAAAGCUUUAAUAAAGACCUUCUAAACGAUAUAAUCCCUCACCGUAACACCUAUUUAGCUCCCAGAAAAUCAUACUACGGAUAAACAUGAAAUCAAGAAUAUACUAACAUUAAAUCCAGAAGUAUACCACACACAGCAUCUUAUUAGCAAUAUAAAUAAUCAAGUGCUUAAUAACCCAUACUAGCACGCCAGUCGGAGUAACCUAUGGUGACCUGUAUGACUACAACCAUAUCUCAUCAAUCAAUGCUAGCUCAUAAGUUGGAGCCACCUAUAGUGACAUGUACGACUUAUCCAUAUCUCAUCACAUAUGCUAACUCAUAAGUCGCAGUCACCUAUAAUGACUUGUACGACUUAUUUAUAUCUCAUUACAUAGGCUAGCUCAUAAGUCGGAGUCACCUCUUGUGACAUGUACGACUGAAUUUAUAGCUUAAUAAGUAUACCUGCACAUGAGUUGGAACCACCUAAAGUGGUUUGUACUACAGGAUUGUGUGUAAAUAAAUACGCUCAAGUGCUACAAUCACGUGAAGACUGUGCGAAUAAUCGCGGGUCACCUAUGAGUCGGAACCACCUAAAGUCGUAUGUACACCUACCUUGGAUCCAAGGUGAGCGUAAGGUGCGGGAGAUGAACAUCACGUGAAUGAUUGUGCCCUGGCCACGGGUGGGAGCACUAACACUGGGGUGCAAGUUUAUGAGCUCUCAAUGCAUCUCAAUAUAACAUGUACGACUCAUGGGCAAUCCAUAUGACAGUGUCGGAGUUGCCUAUCAUUGCAACAUGUACGACAAGGUCGGGGUUGCCUAAAACAUGCAUGUAGUCAUGCCAUAACUCCAUCAUUUCAACUAAUACCAUAAACUCACCUGAACUUACUUGGGUGUCCUGCGUUCACCUUUGCACUUCAAGCGUUCACAAUAAUUAUGUGCAGGUAAUAUACAUAUAGAUAAACCCUGAUGCAAUCUGAUACUCAAACAUGUUAUAGCAUUUUCAAUUGUAUACAUAAACAUAUAUAUAUAUAUAUAUAUACACACACACACACAAAAUAUGGCGUAAAAAAAAUGCAUAAGCUGUAACACCCUACUCCCGAACUAUUUAUUUUCGGGAAUAAUUAUCGGUGAUAAGCCCAACUAGACACUAGUUUAAUUAAUUAUUAUUACUUACGUUUCCUUACUUCAAAUUUUUUAUUCUUCACACAUUGAUUAGGUUAAAUCUCACAUUUUCCACCAAUGUCCCUCACAUUGCUCAAUUCCUUAAACAAGGCUAUUGUCUCAAUUAUUUAGUCUCAUUUAUUGUAUGGCUGCAUCUAAUGCCUUGUUAGACUGCCUACGUACCCUAAACAGGGAUCAAGCCAUUCGUAGUUCACAUUAGUACUUCAAAGCAUUCACAGUAAUUAUAUGCAAUAAUCAAUUUAUAACCGUUUAUGGAAUUAUCAAUCAUAUAUAUAUACGAUAGAAAGGAAAGGACCCACUCACCUAAGGUCUGCGCCAUGACUCCCUAACACAAAGAUUGAGACGUCACGAACCAUCGUCGCCUAGAACAAUUAUCAAAUCACAUCUCAGAGUUCUUACCGAUAGAAUACAUAAUUGACAUAAAACACAUCCCUACGUAAAUCAAUUCGGAAGAUCUGCAUCACGGAUUUCCGAUCCAUUGCUUCCAAAGAUCCACAUUAUACUUUUAGAACAACAUUCUAAAGUUUCAUUAUGAUCCAACGGUCGGAUCUUCGCCAAUUGCCAAAACCAAGUGGCGGUCAACAUUUUAUUUUAUGAACUUACAAAUCCAAUUCGGGAAGAUCCGUAUAUCGGAUUCCCAAUCCGUAAGUUCCUAUGGUCCUAAAAUAUUACAUACUAUAACAUACUAAAAGUUUGGUGACGAUCCAACGGUCGGAUCGUCGAUUCAUAUCUUUACCAAGUAACGUAUCCUAAUAAGUUUAUGUCCAAACGAUCAACCUACGAUAUACAAUUGCCAAAAAUGAACUCAAGAAAUCUAAUUUAGCCUAAGGAUAACAUCGACGGUCCCUUGGCCACGUGCCGCCGCGGGUGGCGGUCGGCCGCCCCGACUAGUCGGAAAAUCCAACUAUUUCAAAAAAUUACCAAAAUUUACAGAAAUGAAGAUCUCAUUGAGUGGAACAACUUUUAUACCUGUGACUAAGGCCAAUUAGGCCGUGAAGAGCUCCAAUUUCACUCAAAUCCACCGGAAACCCUAGAAUGGGUGUUAUUCGAUUCUCCUUUCUUAGCGUUCCAACGUCCCUACAACUAGUUGGGUCUUGUUCCUAGGUCCAAGGGGAGUUGAUUAAGGGUGGUAAUGGGUGGUGAAACUUGCCGGAAAGGAGGAAUCGUCGUCGAGCACCUCUGGUGCUUCGGUGAAGUUCCUCACGGGUUAGGACCUAAAAACCCUUAAAUAUAGAUGGAGAUGGUAGAGGGAAGGGUGUGGAAGAGGUUGCAGGUGAUGAAGGGGUGAAACCUGCUUGAAAAAUGGCGGAGGACUGCAGGAAAACCACCCCAGGUUGAAGCCAGGUUUUCUGCAUAUGUAUGGCUACGGGAAGGGGAAGGGAAGGCUGAGAGCUUCCCUCUCUCCUCUCUUAAUUGGUGGAAAGGUUAUUAUUAUUAUUUUUUUUCUCAUUUAAUUGGUCCCUAUUUUCUAUCCUUGAAGCUAAUUGGCUUCUUUCCCACAAGGUGGGAGUUCAAUAAUUUAGUAAUUUGAAAUGUAGGUAACCAAUUUCAAACGUCCGUAACUAUACCGUUAUAAUCCGGACUCGCAAACGGCUUUCGCCUAUGCGUUCGUACCAUUGAGUACUACGUAAAUACGCUAAAAGAUUAAGUCAUACGUUCUUCUAGACGAUGGUCAACAUAAAUCAAAAUCCUUGCCUCUAGACAUUUUUGUCAAUUCCCUUGACUAAAAAUAAAUAAAUAAACGAAAUUUUAGGGACGGGUUGUCACAAUUUUCUCCCCAAAUUUAAUGUUUUUUUUCUUCAUUAAUAUGUGUUUUUGGAGUUAAUUAAUUGGGUUUGGUGUGGGGUGGAGUUUGGGGUAUGCCAAGUUUAGGGGAGAUUAUGCCGAUUUUUUGGUAUUAUUUUAUGUUAUUUUUUUGGUUAUUUGACCAUGUUUGUUUUGUUUGUAGGGAAUCGUCAAGACUUUGACGGUGAAAAUUGAGGAUUAGGAUGCUAUCAGACCAUAUCCCCCGCCACUACCACCACAUUAGACUUGUAUCAGGAUUUUAUUAUUGUACUUUGUUAAUUUAUUUGUACAUUUUUAAUAUAAUAUAUAUUAUGGAUAAUUUGAUCUCUAUUUUAUAUGUAAUUUUAUUUUGAAUAUGUCAAUUUAAAUUAAAGUAAUUUUAAAAAAUAAAGAUACAAUUAAAUUAAAUUAAAAAGGUAAAAAUUCGAAAACUCUUGCGCUACCAAAUAUUUUGUCGUGCAAACAAUUACUAUAAUUAAAUUAAAAUAAGAAAAAUAAUAAAACAAAAAUAAAAUACCUUGCGCAACAAAAUAUUUCGUCUCGCAAAGAUUAAUAUCGUCGUGCAAAAUAUUAAAUUAAUUUAACUAAAUAAAAAAUAAAAAACUAAAAACUUUGCGUGACUAAUAUUUAUUUUUAUCGCGCAAACCCUAUCGUAACG
rnacentral:lncRNA from 1 species